rnacentral:rRNA from 1 species
UAGGGAGUAUUGGACAAUGGGGGCAACCCUGAUCCAGCCAUGCCGCGUGAGUGAAGAAGGCCCUCGGGUUGUAAAGCUCUUUUGUCCGGAAAGAAAAGCAUUCGGUGAAUACCCGGAUGUUCUGACGGUACCGGAAGAAUAAGCACCGGCUAACUUCGUGCCAGCAGCCGCGGUAAUACGAAGGGUGCAAGCGUUACUCGGAAUUACUGGGCGUAAAGCGUGCGUAGGUGGUUGUUUAAGUCUGAUGUGAAAGCCCUGGGCUCAACCUGGGAAUGGCAUUGGAAACUGGGCAGCUAGAGUGCGGUAGAGGGUAGUGGAAUUCCCGGUGUAGCAGUGAAAUGCGUAGAGAUCGGGAGGAACAUCUGUGGCGAAGGCGACUGCCUGGACCAGCACUGACACUGAGGCACGAAAGCGUGGGGAGCAAACA